UCAACCUUAUUCCACUCAUAUGCUGAGUCCCGUCCCUACACCCACUCCCCUACUCCCAGUCCCAGACAAUGCCCUAGGUAGGUGGCAGGCCAUAGCCUGCCCUGAGAGGUCAAGGUGGGGAAUGAAGGGGAAAACUGGGUCUUCACUCCCACCCUGCCCACCAACUGCCCACUGGGUGGGCUUGGCCAAGCCCGUGGCCUCCUGGGUGCCUAUGCCUCUUUCUGGUGCUGGCGCUACCCAUCAAAGAAAUAAGACAAUCUUCCCAGUUUGUACCUUCCCUAGUUACUGGUUGAGGGGGCCAGGGACAGUUAGCCAAGAGAAGUACUCCUUCCCAACACAGCACCAGCCCCAGGUUCUGGUGCCACUGCCAUCACAGCUCUGCAGGGUCUCGGAAUCCCUCACCCAGCUGACUCCUGACACAACACAGCUCACCAGGGUGAAGCCUGACCUGAAGCACUGGCCUGAGAAAUGGGGGAUGGACUCACUGCAGAAGCAGGACCUUCGGAGGCCCAAGAUCCACGGGGUGGUCCGGACGUCCCCCUACCAGCCACCCACACUGGCCUCGCUGCAGCGCUUACUAUGGGUUCGCCGGGCUGCUACACUGAGCCAUAUCAAUGAAGUCUGGCCCAACCUCUUCCUGGGAGAUGCGUAUGCAGCCCAAGACAAGAAUAAGCUGACCCAGCUGGCCAUCACCCAUGUGGUGAAUGUUGCUGCGGGCAAGUUUCAGGUGGACACAGGUGCCAAGUUCUAUCGUGGAAUGGCUUUGGAGUACUAUGGCAUCGAGGCCGAUGACAACCCCUUCUUUGAUCUUAGUGUCUACUUUCUGCCUGUUGCUAGAUACAUCCGAACUGCCCUGAGUGUUCCCCAUGGCCGAGUGCUGGUACACUGCGCUAUGGGGGUGAGCCGCUCCGCCACGGUUGUCCUGGCCUUCCUCAUGAUCUACGAGAAUAUGACACUGGUGGAGGCCAUCCAGACAGUGCAGGCCCAUCGCGAUAUCUGCCCCAACGCGGGCUUCCUCCGGCAGCUCCAGGUGAACAAACUGCUAAGGCUCAGAGAAGAUGAAAUGAGGCUGGAAUGUCGCCUCCUGGAUCCAGGAUCUCUGGGCUCAGGCCUCAAAGGGCAGAUCAGCACCUCUGCCAGGGACAUACCACCAAGUGACCAUCAACAGUGACCUCCGUCAGCACCACAUGAAACAGAAGAACAGUCCAUUCAAGCCUGCCUGAAUUAAAGACCCACAAAAUGAUGAGAUGUUUCUGUAUUAACCUCCUCAUCCAUGCUGCCUGAAUCAUUUGAUGUCUCCUUGGAAGCUGCUAGAAUUCUCCUUUCUGAAAUUUCCUGUAUCUUUGUUGUGGCUUCAGAGUGUUCCAUUAGCCCUUAUGUGCCCUCUCUCCCUCCAAACCCUGCCCCUUUACAUCCCUAUAUGGGUGUAUUCUGGCUUGGCCUCAUGUAUCUGCUGGGCUAACAAUGGAGUUCCUCGGACCUAUGACUAGGGCGGCGUCAGGCUAGCUUUCAAGCUUCCCAGAGCUCUGUCUUUGUGCUGUUGUUAAGACUGUCCUGGCUUUGGUAGUGAGAGGGGAGGAGGGUUGCUGAUUAGAUAGACAUGAGAAAAUAUACACAGGUAUAAAGC